rfam:Alligator mississippiensis ScZkoYb_1669, whole genome shotgun sequence.
GGCACUGUGGCUUAGUUGGUUAAAGCAUCUGUUUUAUAAGGAGGGGAUCCUGGGUUCAAAUCCCAGCAGUGUCU